rnacentral:rRNA from 1 species
CAUUUAUUUGACGAAGGCUCCAAAGGAAGCCACGGCUAACUCUGUGCCAGCAGCCGCGGUAAUACAGAGGUGGCAAGCGUUGUUCGGAAUUAUUGGGCGUAAAGAGCACGUAGGUGGGUUUGUAAGUCAGAUGUGAAAGCCUUCUGUUCAACGGAAGAAUUGCAUCUGAAACUGCGAGUCUUGAGUGUAGGAGGGGAGAAUGGAACUUCUGGUGGAGCGGUGAAAUGCGUAGAUAUCAGAAGGAACGCCGGCGGCGAAAGCGAUUCUCUGGCCUAUUACUGACGCUCAGUGUGCGAAAGCUAGGGGAGCAAACGGGAUUAGAUACCCCGGUAGUCCUAGCCGUAAACGAUGGGCACUAAGUAGAGGGAAUUACCGAUGUUCUCUCUGCCGUAGCUAACGCAUUAAGUGCCCCGCCUGGGGAGUACGGCCGCAAGGCUAAAACUCAAAAGAAUUGACGGGGGCUCGCACAAGCGGUGGAGCAUGUGGCUUAAUUCGAUGCAACGCGAAGAACCUUACCGGGGCUUGACAUGGUAGAAGUAGGAACCCGAAAGGGUAACGAACGGUAUCCAGUCCGUAACUAUCACAGGUGUUGCAUGGCUGUCGUCAGCUCGUGUCGUGAGACGUUGGGUUAAGUCCCCUAACGAGCGAAACCCUUGUUUUUAGUUACCAGCGGGUUGUGCCGGGUACUCUAGAAAGACYGCCGUCGUCAAGACGGAGGAAGGUGGGGAUGACGUCAAGUCAUCAUGGCCCUUAUGCCCCGGGCUGCACACGUGCUACAAUGGUCGGUACAAACGGAAGCGAAGCCGAGAGGUGAAGCGAAUCCUAAAAAGCCGAUCUCAGUUCGGAUUGGAGGCUGAAAUUCGCCUCCA